GAUGAACGCUGGCGGCGUGCCUAAUACAUGCAAGUCGAGCGAACGGACGAGAAGCUUGCUUUUCUGAUGUUAGCGGCGGACGGGUGAGUAACACGUGGAUAACCUACCUAUAAGACUGGGAUAACUUCGGGAAACCGGAGCUAAUACCGGAUAAUAUUUUGAACCGCAUGGUUCAUAAGUGAAAGACGGUCUUGUUGUCACUUAUAGAUGGAUCCGCGCUGCAUUAGCUAGUUGGUAAGGUAACGGCUUACCAAGGCAACGAUGCAUAGCCGACCUGAGAGGGUGAUCGGCCACACUGGAACUGAGACACGGUCCAGACUCCUACGGGAGGCAGCAGUAGGGAAUCUUCCGCAAUGGGCGAAAGCCUGACGGAGCAACGCCGCGUGAGCGAUGAAGGUCUUCGGAUCGUAAAACUCUGUUAUUAGGGAAGAACAUAUGUGUAAGUAACUGUGCACAUCUUGACGGUACCUAAUCAGAAAGCCACGGCUAACUACGUG
rnacentral:rRNA from 1 species